rnacentral:rRNA from 1 species
GAUGAACGCUGGCGGCGUGCCUAAUACAUGCAAGUCGAGCGAACAGACGAGGAGCUUGCUCCUCUGACGUUAGCGGCGGACGGGUGAGUAACACGUGGAUAACCUACCUAUAAGACUGGGAUAACUUCGGGAAACCGGAGCUAAUACCGGAUAAUAUAUUUAACCGCAUGGUUCAAUAGUGAAAGACGGUUUUGCUGUCACUUAUAGAUGGAUCCGCGCCGCAUUAGCUAGUUGGUAAGGUAACGGCUUACCAAGGCAACGAUGCGUAGCCGACCUGAGAGGGUGAUCGGCCACACUGGAACUGAGACACGGUCCAGACUCCUACGGGAGGCAGCAGUAGGGAAUCUUCCGCAAUGGGCGAAAGCCUGACGGAGCAACGCCGCGUGAGUGAUGAAGGUCUUCGGAUCGUAAAACUCUGUUAUUAGGGAAGAACAAAUGUGUAAGUAACUAUGCACGUCUUGACGGUACCUAAUCAGAAAGCCACAGCUAACUACGUG